rnacentral:lncRNA from 1 species
GCCCCCCCCCCCUUUGUGUGGCUUAAUCCAAGAAAGCUUUAUUCCCCUCCUCAGCUGAUAUGUUUAUUUUUUGCCGAUCACAAUUUGCUUGAAUCAGAGCAUCAACUUUUCCAAGGUAGAAGAAAAGGGAGUGGGGACUUGAUAGCAACAUUUAAUUAUAGCUUCCACAUGACCUGAAUGUAUGAACCAUGGUUGGAUAAAUUCACCUCUGAAUAGAGGAACAUCACACAGCCAUUGAACCUCCUAAUAUGUCUGGGUUCUUUGUUUGGCUCUCUCUCUCUCUCUC